CUGGGUGUAUCACUGACGGAGACCGAAGAUUUAAUGUUACCGAGUCAGCCAUUCUCUUAUACCUAUCAUCUCUAGUCAAAACCAUAUUAAUAUCAAUCUAGACCGUAUAUAAAGACGAUCGAUUUCUUAAAUAGAAACACAUUCACUCGGCCGGGUAUUAUAACACAAAUGUGUAAAUGAACCUAACGUAAUAUUAUAACGAAUAAUUUUGUUUAUUAAAUGUAAAUUUAACUCGUUAUAUGUAAUAUUGUACCACAUAAUGUAUUGUAG